rnacentral:lncRNA from 1 species
UAUGGCUAUUUCAGGCAUCUGCAAUAUUGUAACUACUAUUUUUUCCCUCAUAUUUCUUCCUUUCAUGUUUGGCAGCCCUGUGCAGAUGGAAUAUUUCAACUAAAUUAGAAUAAGAACUAACGGGAAGCAACAACAAAGAGAAAUCAACAAAGAAGAAAUAACUUCAGAGAAAUACUGAUGCUUUCAACUAUACAGAUAUCAUUUUCUACAGACAUUUAUUUUGUUUGUCAAAGGCCAAGGAAUCAAAUCAGAAACCACCAGACGAAUGCACCCCGAGAUGCAAGCUCCCUGACCCAUCACAGUCGGGGUGAGCAGUGUGCUGGCCGCGCACCUGGAGUAGCACCAGCGCCCAUGGUCACGGAGAGGGAAGGUGUCCUGCAGCCCUGGCAGGUGCCCACUCUGCGCGGGGGGCUCCCACCCGGUGCAGGCAGAGGGGAGGAGCAGCGCCUGUGGGAUCCAACAGCAACAACCGAACCAACAAGAUGUUGACAACCCUGCACAAGGUCGGCGGUAACACAGUGCUUGUGCCCACCGUGUGCUGCUUCUGCGGCCUCUACCUUGGUUCACUGCUGCUAUGAUGGAAUAUUCUACUGCAAUGAAAGGAACCAGAAUAUAUACGUACAAUCUUAAAAAAAAAUCACAAGGAACUGUUUCUGGAUAUGUAUUUUACACGUAUGUUACAAAAGUACAGACUGUCCACAGCUAAAGGAAGUAGCAGUUGUACCUUAAUAGGGAGUGAUGGAGGGAAGGAGAGGGAAGGAGCACAAAAGGGACUUUGAUGGACUUUUUAGUAUGUGAUUUCCAGAAGUUAUUUAAACAAAUAUGACAAAAUAAAGAAUAUAUAUUGAAGAUCA